rnacentral:rRNA from 1 species
UACGAGGGGGGCGAGCGUUGUUCGGAAUUAUUGGGCGUAAAGGGUGCGUAGGCGGUUCCGCAAGUCCUGUGUGAAAUCUUCGGGCUCAACUCGAAGUCUGCACGGGAAACUGCGGGGCUUGAGUGUGGGAGAGGCGAGUGGAAUUCCUGGUGUAGCGGUGGAAUGCGCAGAUAUCAGGAGGAACACCGAUGGCGAAGGCAGCUCGCUGGGACGGUACUGACGCUGAGGCGCGAAAGCGUGGGGAGCGAACAGG